UACGAAGGGGGCUAGCGUUGCUCGGAAUCACUGGGCGUAAAGGGUGCGUAGGUGGCUUGGUAAGUUCGAUGUGAAAUCUCCGGGCUUAACCCGGAAAUGGCAUUGAAUACUAUUGAGCUGGAGGUUUGGAGGGGGGACUGGAAUUCUCGGUGUAGCAGUGAAAUGCGUAGAUAUCGAGAGGAACACCAGUGGCGAAGGCGAGUCCCUGGACAACACCUGACACUGAGGCACGAAAGCUAGGGGAGCAAACAGG
rnacentral:rRNA from 1 species